CUGAAUCUACUUUUCUGGGAGUGCAUCUACUGCCUUUUGUCAUCCCAGAAUUGCACACUGCGGUGUUACUUCAGUUGUAAGUCAGUAAGGUUAGAAAAUAAGCACCACCUGUCUUCGUCUCGCCUUCACUUGAGGGAAGGGAUCUUCUACGUUCACCACUGUGACAUUCCUUUAAAGUAAAUUGGUUCCUUUUUCAUCUGGAAAUGGAUGUAGGAGUUAUAAAUCUUGGCUGAGUCUCCAAAUUUCCCUGACGUUGUUUGCACAUGUUUAUGUAAACCAUGUUGCAUUACAGCAUGCAACAAAAUUGCAGUGAUAUAUUGAAAGCUUAUACAUGUGUCACUGGUGGAAGCAUUGGUUGGCAAUAAGUCUGCGCCCUUGCAUCUGGGAAUCUGUUAAGGUGAUUACAUCUAGCAUGUAAAGAGUUUAUCCGGCGAACAUUUCAUCUGAUCAUCAUGCUUUCAAUAAGGUGUGAAUUAUCCCUUGCUUGUUGGCAUGGUGGAAUCCUAAAUCAAUUCAACCAUGUUUCCUUCAACCUACGAUUUAAAAGCAUGGAGGAGCAGCUCAUUCUUCGGCUUGUUACUUCCCCCUGUGCAACUUUUCAUUAAUCAGAAAUAUAGUUUUGUUUCAGUGAUCAGCGUUCACCAGGAAGAAUGGGCAUCCACACUGGCACCGCUUCUUAUGUCUUUUCCUUAUAUUUUCUUCGCUUCAUCCUUCACACAUCAGCAGCCUACGGAAGUGCAACCAUAUCAUCGACUUUGGGGGUGUCUUCAGCAACGAACGUGUUCAGAGUUAGUUUGUUGUCCACGAACGUUAUAAUUGUGUAGUUUAAUGUGCAUAUUAAAUGAUUGUUACCACAACAGGUCACCACCACCACCACCGCCGCCACCAACUAGGGGAGGAAGAGACUUUGGCCGGGACUACCCUCCAACUAGGGAUUACAGAGACAGGGGUGCUAGAGAUAUGAGAGAUGAGAGACCUGGGUACAGGAACAGAAGUCCUCGUUAUCGAUAGUGAACAGUGUAUAUAAGUAGGAGGCCAGUUAUGUGGAUUGGGUAGAUGAACAAUGUCCCAGGAUGCAGAGCUACAGAACAAACAGAGUUGCUAAAUGUAGCAUCUGAAUGUUGUCUGCAACAAAAUGUUAUGCCCAAGAAGGUUGUGGCACUAUUACGUUUUUGUUGUAACUGUGACCCUGUGUUCAAAAAAUGUUUGAAAUUUUAUAUGGAAGUUGAAUCUAGGAUACAUUGUAUAUUAUAAAUAUUUUAUAGUGAAGCCAAAGACUUUUACAUAGAACUGUCUAAUAAUGGUUCAUAUUGUUACAUUUAAAAAACUUUUUUAGGAAUACCUAUUUAUUACAAGUUAUUCAACAGGAUAAGUAUUUCAAAAUUGACUUGUAUGCAUUUUCAAAAAAAAUGUGGGCAUUUGGGAGCCCUCCAGUUACUAUAUAUAACAGUUUGUGAAUUAUGCCAUUUUUGACGUCCUUGGUACCCAUUUUCUGUGUACAACUUCUUUUCAAUCCAAUGUUAGUAUUGGACAGUCUAAGUAUAAACACCAAUGUGAACAAAGGGUAUCUAAAAAAGGGAAAAUGUUCAAAAUUUCAUGAAGGCAUGCCCUGUUCAAUGCUUCGUAACACACGAGGUAAUUUUAGUUGAAUAUAUCCAAUUUUAUUUCAGACUUGUAUGAUGGUAAUGCUGUAUAAGUGGGUUUUGUGUUUUAGGUGGUUUUAGUUUUAAUGCUUGUGAAUCUGACAAGUACGCCAAAUACAUAUGUCACUGCAGGAUCAAAGGUCUGUCUUGCUUCAGUGCUGUAAAUAAAAUAACAUUAAUAAAAUACUAUUUUGAAA
rnacentral:lncRNA from 1 species